rnacentral:rRNA from 1 species
UACGAAGGGGGCUAGCGUUGUUCGGAAUUACUGGGCGUAAAGCGCACGUAGGCGGACAUUUAAGUCAGGGGUGAAAUCCCAGAGCUCAACUCUGGAACUGCCUUUGAUACUGGGUGUCUGGAGUAUGGAAGAGGUGAGUGGAAUUCCGAGUGUAGAGGUGAAAUUCGUAGAUAUUAGGAAGAACACCAGUGGCGAAGGCGGCUCACUGGACUGGUAUUGACGCUGAGGUGCGAAAGCGUGGGGAGCAAACAGG